rnacentral:lncRNA from 1 species
CUAAUUUUUUCUUAGACCAUCCUUUCGGGUUUUUAGUCUACCGGGAUACCCAUUUAUGCAUAAGUCGCCCUUUCGAUUUUCAACUUAUUAGAUUUUUUUUUCUCUUUUUCUUCUUCAUGCGUAGUAUUUUUUUACUACAUCCGCGUUCACGAGGGACGGAAUAUCUUCACCAUCCAUAGUUGGAAGGAUUAAGGCCCCUCCAUAGAAAACAUUUCUUAUAAUAUACGGGCCUUCGUAGCUUGGCGUCCAUUUGCCCCUAGGGUCAGUAUGAAUCGGUAGAAUCUUCUUCAAGACUAAGUCUUCA